AUUGAAACACCGGUUCUCGUAUGAUCACCAAAGUUAAGCAACGUUGAGCCUGGUUAGUAGCCAGAUGGGUGACCGUUGUGGAAUACCAGUUGCUGUAAG